rnacentral:rRNA from 1 species
UACGGAGGGUGCAAGCGUUAUCCGGAAUUACUGGGUUUCAAGGGUGCGUAGGCGGCUUGAUAAGUCAGGGGUGAAAGCCUAUAGCUUAAAGAUAGAAUUGCCUUUGAUACUGUAAAGCUUGAAAGGGGUUGAGGUCAGCAGAAUGUGGCAUGUAGCGGUGAAAUGCAUAGAUAUGCCAUAGAACACCGAUUGUGAAGGCAGCUGGCUGGGCCUACUUUGACGCUGAGGCACGAAAGCGUGGGGAGCGAACAGU